rnacentral:rRNA from 1 species
AUUGAACGCUGGCGGCAUGCCUUACACAUGCAAGUCGAACGGCAGCACGGGUGCUUGCACCUGGUGGCGAGUGGCGAACGGGUGAGUAAUACAUCGGAACGUACCUUAUCGUGGGGGAUAACGCAGCGAAAGCUGCGCUAAUACCGCAUACGCCCUGAGGGGGAAAGCGGGGGAUCGAAAGACCUCGCGCGAUUAGAGCGGCCGAUGCCUGAUUAGCUUGUUGGUGGGGUAAAAGCCCACCAAGGCGACGAUCAGUAGCUGGUCUGAGAGGACGAUCAGCCACACUGGGAGUGAGACCCGGCCCAGACGCCUACGUGAGGCAGCAGUGGGGAGUUUUGGACAAUGGGGGCAACCCUGAUCCAGCAAUGCCGCGUGAGUGAAGAAGGCCUUCGGUUUGUAAAGCUCUUUUGUCAGGGAAGAAACACCGGCUCUAACACAGUCCGGGAAUGACGGUACCUGAAGAAUAAGCACCGGCUAACUACGUGCCAGCAGCCGCCGUAA